rfam:Dacryopinax sp. DJM-731 SS1 chromosome Tnknown DACRYscaffold_18, whole genome shotgun sequence.
GCUUGGGUGGGUUAGUGGUAUACUGGGUCGUUGCCAAAGCGCAUUGCAUUGCAGUGUGCAGUUGCUUCGACCCGACCCGGGUUCGAUUCCCGGUCCAAGCA